CAGCCGCGGGCGAUGCGUCGAAAGGCGCCGCCUGAGGAAAGUCCGAGCUUCGCAGGGCAGGAUAACGGCUAACGGCCGCCGAGGGUGACCUUAGGGAAAGUGCAACAGAAAUAUACCGCCGCGACCCGUUCGCGGUAAGGGUGGAACGGCGAGGUAAGAGCUCACCGGCGCGCAGGAGACUGCGCGGCCCUGUAAACCCUAUCCGAAGCAACACCGUGGAGGGACAUAUGCGCUGGCCCGGCGCGUCCUGUGGAGGUGGCAUGAGCUGCGCGGCAACGUGCAGUCGAGAUAGAUGGCUGUUCUCGACAGAACUCGGCUUACCGAUUCA
rnacentral:RNase_P_RNA from 1 species